UGUAAGGAAGUGAAUUCUCGAAAUCCGAGAGUUGUACUUCAUCCAGGAUCGACUAAUUGUCGAGAGAAUACCCUUUGGGGAAGUUAAAGAUGUCCAAAGCACAAAAGGUGCAUUGGAAUUGAGUCCAUGAGAGCGCAUAGUGCAAACAGCAUUAUUGGGCUGAUGUUACUCUCGGGGACCGGUCUCUGGAGGUAAGAGACCGGUUCCAUCAGCUGGGCGUGCGGGGUUGCAUGGUGCAACCGGUCCCUGGCAAGGAGGGACCGGUUCCCGAACGUGGUUCCAGCGAGAAAUGCCGAAAUUUGGCUAAGUCCUGAAAGUCGAGCUCUCGGGGACCGGUCUCUCAGGCGGGGACCGGUCUCCCGAGGACCGGUCUCCCGGGGAGAGACCGGUUCCCAAACGCGUGCGCUCGAGGGAAGCUCUCGGGGACCGGUCCCAAGUCGGGGAGACCGGUCCCUCCGCGCGGAAACUGCCUAGUGAGGGCUGUGCAAGGGGUUAAAAGUUGAGGGACCUAAAUGCAAAAUGGCCUUUAUUAGAGUGGGCUGAGCCCUCUCUCUCCCUCACACUCUCUCAUUCCACUCUCCCUCACUCUCAUUUCUCUCUUGCUCCCUCUCUCUCUCUAGAAAGGAAAGAAGGAGAAGAAGAACAAGAAGGAGAGGAAGGAAAAGAAGAGGAAGAUAAGGAAGGAGAAGAAGAAGGAGAUCAAGAGGAAGGCUUUGAGCACCUCCAUCUCCCUCUCCUCUUCCCAUUGGUGUAGCUCUUGAGGUAAGCUACUAAACCCUAGCUUUGUAAACUUAGGGCUUUGGGUUUUUAUGCUUUGGAAUGGGUCAAAUGGACCCUAAGCAUGCUUCUAAAUAGAUCAAUCCCAAGAAUCUAGGGUUUUAUUGGUGGUUUGCUAUAUGUGCAAACCUAGGGCUCCAAAUGGGGGCAUUUUGUAAAGUAUGAGAUUGAUCUCAUUUGAGGCCUUGUAAACCUCAUCGAUAGGUGCCCANN
rnacentral:lncRNA from 1 species